UGCCGAAACCCGGGAUCGAACUAGGGAUCUUUAGAUCUUCAGUCUAACGCUCUCCCAACUGAGCUAUUUCGGC
rnacentral:tRNA from 1 species